GGAUUGUCAAUAUCUAUCAAGUGGUUCAUAACAAGUGAAGGAGGCUGAGCUCUUGGAUGAAGCUAUUUGGAGGAUCUGACUAGUGGCUGUUGGGCGAGGUCAACUCUUUCAGCAAUUGAUGCCCGCUCUGCUGCAUGACUUCCAUAACCGCCAGAGAUCAAAGUGUAUUGUAACCAUUGAAGCCGCAUGUGUUCUUGGUCGUUGCUGCUGGAAUUCUCAACAUUGAUGAGGG
rnacentral:misc_RNA from 1 species